CCUACGGGGGGCAGCAGUGGGGAAUAUUGGGCAAUGGGCGCAAGCCUGACCCAGCAACGCCGCGUGAAGGAAGAAGGCUCUCGGGUUGUAAACUUCUUUUCUCAGGGACGAAGAAAGUGACGGUACCUGAGGUAUAAGCCACGGCUAACUACGUGCCAGCAGCCGCGGUAAUACGUAGGUGGCAAGCGUUAGCCGGAUUUAUUGGGUGUAAAGGGCGGGUAGGCGGGAGCGCAAGUCAGAUGUGAAAUCUCAGGGCUCAACCCUGAGCCUGCAUUUGAAACUGUUUUUCUUGAGUACAUGUGAGGCAAUCGGAAUGCCGGGUGUAGCGGUGAAAUGCGUAGAUAUACGGAAGAACACCAGUUGCGAAGGCGGAUUGCUAAACAAUAACUGACGCUGAGGCGCGAAAGCGUGGGGAGCAAACAGGAUUAGAUACCCUUGUAGUC
rnacentral:rRNA from 1 species